rnacentral:rRNA from 1 species
UACAGAGGGUGCAAGCGUUAAUCGGCAUUAGUGGGCGUAAAGCGCGUGCGGACGGAUAUCUAAGUCGAGUGUGAAAGCCCCGGGCUAAACCUGGGAAUUGCAUUCGAAACUGAAUAGCUAGGGUGCGGAAUAGGGAAGUGGAAUUUCCGGUGUAGCGGUGAAAUGCGUAGAUAUCGGAAGGAACAUCAGUGGCGAAAGCGACGUCCUGGUCCAGCACCGACGAUCAGGCACGAAAGCGUGGGGAGCAAAUAGG